rnacentral:misc_RNA from 1 species
GAUGAAGAACGUAGCGAAAUGCGAUAAGUAGUGUGAAUUGCAGAAUUCAGUGAAUCAUCGAAUCUUUGAACGCACAUUGCGCCCUUUGGUAUUCCAAAGGGCAUGCCUGUUCGAGCGUCAUUUGUACCCUCAAGCUUUGCUUGGUGUUGGGCGUCUUGUCUCUAGCUUUGCUGGAGACUCGCCUAAAAGUAAUUGGCAGCCGGCCUACUGGUUUCGGAGCGCAGCACAAGUCGCACUCUCUAUCAGCAAAGGUCUAGCAUCCAUUAAGCCUUUUUUUCAACUUUUGACCUCGGAUCAGGUAGGGAUACCCGCUGAACUUAAGCAUAUCAAUAAGCGGAGGA